rnacentral:rRNA from 1 species
GUAGCGGCGAGUGAAGCGGCAAAAGCUCAAAUUUGAAAUCUGGCACCUUCGGUGUCCGAGUUGUAAUUUGAAGAUUGUAACCUUGGGGUUGGCUCUUGUCUAUGUUUCUUGGAACAGGACGUCACAGAGGGUGAGAAUCCCGUGCGAUGAGAUGCCCAAUCCUAUGUAAGGUGCUUUCGAAGAGUCGAGUUGUUUGGGAAUGCAGCUCUAAGUGGGUGGUAAAUUCCAUCUAAAGCUAAAUAUUGGCGAGAGACCGAUAGCGAACAAGUACAGUGAUGGAAAGAUGAAAAGAACUUUGAAAAGAGAGUGAAAAAGUACGUGAAAUUGUUGAAAGGGAAGGGUUUGAGAUCAGACUCGAUAUUUUGUGAGCCUUGCCUUCGUGGCGGGGUGACCCGCAGCUUAUCGGGCCAGCAUCGGUUUGGGCGGUAGGAUAAUGGCGUAGGAAUGUGACUUUGCUUCGGUGAAGUGUUAUAGCCUGCGUUGAUGCUGCCUGCCUAGACCGAGGACUGCGAUUUUAUCAAGGAUGCUGGCAUA